rnacentral:rRNA from 1 species
UACGUAGGGUCCGAGCGUUGUCCGGAAUUAUUGGGCGUAAAGGGCUCGUAGGCGGUUUGUCACGUCGGGAGUGAAAACUCAGGGCUCAACCCUGAGCGUGCUUCCGAUACGGGCAGACUAGAGGUAUGCAGGGGAGAACGGAAUUCCUGGUGUAGCGGUGGAAUGCGCAGAUAUCAGGAGGAACACCGAUGGCGAAGGCAGCUCGCUGGGACGGUACUGGACGCUGAGGCGCGAAAGCGUGGGGGAGCGAACAGG